AUGGCGGAGGGCGUUGUAGCGUUGCUGAUUGCCAAGCUUGGUUUUGCCAUAGCAAAAGAGGCAGCAACCUUCGCUACGUCAGUGCUAUGGAAGGAAGCAUCUGCCCUCAAAGGUCUCUUCGGUGAGAUCCGUGAGGCCAAGGAGGAGCUGGAGAGCAUGCAGGCCUAUCUACAGGGGGCGGAGCGGUUCAAGGACACCGACGAGACCACCGGCGUCUUCAUCAACAAGAUCAGGGGCUUUGCCUUCGAGAUCGAGGAUGUUGUCGAUGAGUUCACCUACAAGCUGGAAGACAGGCAUGGGGGAUUCACUGUGAAGAUGAAGAAAAGGGUCAACCACAUCAAGGCAUGGCGCCGUUUGACACUGAAGCUCCAGGAUAUCAAGGGCAGGCUUCAGGGUGCGGAUAGGAGAAAGGUCCGCUACGACAUGAGAGGGAUUGAGAGAGAGGGUAGGAACAAUGUUCAGUCAAAAUCUGCUGACCAUUCUCUGAAUCUUGCAAGGGAAGAGGAUCUUGUGGGCAUUAAGGAAAACAAGGACAAGCUGAUGCACUGGCUGGUGGGUGAUUUGGAGGAAUAG
rnacentral:rRNA from 1 species